GCAGUCAGUUUAUCGAGAAAUGAAAAAUAAAUCAAUUCAUGUCCGGGAACACUACUCCGUUUGUUUCUGUAAACAACAACUGGCAAUGAUUCAACCCAAACCACCUAAAGUUAAAGACUUGAUUCGUUUGCUUAAAUACUGGUAUAAGACGAAUGGGCUAGAUAUGACAUCGUAUUGUUGUGAGGUAAUGGGGCUAUAUAUUUUCCACAAAUAUCUGAACAGUAAAACUAACUUCGAUAUGAAAACUGGUUUUUAUAAAGCUAUGGAGUUGUUUAGUUCCUAUAGACAACUACAGAUCACAAUACCUGGGAUCUAUAACACGGAUAAUUGGUCAAGUUUCUUCCCUAAAACAACGUAUGUACUUGAUCCCGUUAAUCCCUUUUCCGACACAUCUUCACCUAAAGUUCGCAGUAUAGAAAGAUGUGCUGAAUCCACAUUGAAUUGGUUAGAAGAUGUACCAUCCGAGGAUUAUGGUUUUUUAUCUAAAAUAGGAGCUGUAGUUGCUGCCACUGCUUUUACUUUACUACUUGGAUCCAGUGCAGCUAACCAAAACUGAUUUUUUAAAAAAUGUUGUUUAAUUCUAUAAUUGUUUUAUACCUGUUAUCAGUUGGUGUAUUCGAUUCUGAUAUUCUGUAUGACAAUACGAAUACUGAUUACGAACACCGAUAUCUAGUCGUGCACUAUUGUUAUUAUUAUUAUGUUCUAUACAGUCAGUUGUCCUAAAUACAGAAUUCUGACGUAA